ACCAUUCUGGAAAUCAGUCUGGAGGUUCCUCAGUAAAUUGGACAUUUAACUACCUGAGGAUCCAGCUAUACCUCUCUUGGGCAUAUACCCAAAAGAUGCCCCAACAUACAGCAAAGACACAUGCUCCACUAUGUUCAUAGCAGGCUUAUUUAUAAUAGCCAGAAGCUGGAAAGAACCCAGACGCCCUUCAACAGAGGAAUGCAUACAGAAUAUGUGGAACAUCUACAUAAUGGAGUAUUACUCAGCUAUUAAAAAUGAUGACUUCAUGAAAUUCAUAGGCAAAUGGAAUGAAGUAGAAAAUAUCAUCCUGAGUGAGGUUACACAAUCACAGAAAAACACACUUGGUAUGCAC
rnacentral:lncRNA from 1 species